UGGCAGCAUUGGCAUCACCUGAAAACUUGUCAAGGUGAUGUCAUUGUCUAUAUUAAUGAAGUUUGUGUCCUUGGACACACUCAUGCAGAUGUUGUCAAAC
rnacentral:sRNA from 1 species